GCUGUGACGGUGGAGAAAGGAGAGACAGUCACCAUGGACUGUAACUUAGGCAGUGUUACUGGCAGCAAUUGUUACUGUAAAGGACAUUUAUUCCACAUCCUGACAAGAUGUUGGCGACCCUCUGCACUCUCAUCACUGCUCUAACAUGUGUGAGUGGUGUGACGGUGGUGACACAGAAACCUCCUGCUGUGACGGUGGAGAAAGGAGAGACAGUCACCAUGGACUGUAACUUAGGCAGUGUUACUGACAGUGCUGGUCGCUGGUAUAAACAGAGUCCAGGAGGAGUUCCUCAGUUUAUACUCUCAAAUUAUCAUGGCUGGAGCAACCCAAGCUAUGGCUCUGGGUUUUCAUCACCAAAAUUCACAUCUAAUCAUCAAUCUCAAUCAGAUUAUCGGUUGAUCAUCAACAAUGUGCAGGAGGGGGACUCUGCAGUUUAUUACUGUCACACAUGGGAUAGCUCUGCUUCUGAGGACGUAUCACAGUGAUUUACACCAUGACAAAAACCUCCUCACUUCAACUUCGGCUUUUUGUUUUUUUUCACUCUCUCUGAGCAUGAGUUAAUCACAGACAAAGCUGCUAGGGUA